rnacentral:rRNA from 1 species
AAUGCCUUCAGUUAACGGCGAAGUGAAGCGGCAAGAAGCUCAAAUUUGAAAGCUGGCCCCUUCGGGGUCCGCGUUGUAAUUUGCAGAGGAUGCUUCGGGUGCAGCCCCCGUCUAAGUGCCCUGGAACGGGCCGUCAUAGAGGGUGAGAAUCCCGUCUGGGACGGGGUGUCUGCGUCCGUGUGAAGCUCCUUCGACGAGUCGAGUUGUUUGGGAAUGCAGCUCUAAAUGGGUGGUAAAUUUCAUCUAAAGCUAAAUACUGGCCGGAGACCGAUAGCGCACAAGUAGAGUGAUCGAAAGAUGAAAAGCACUUUGAAAAGAGAGUUAAACAGCACGUGAAAUUGUUGAAAGGGAAGCGUUUGCGACCAGACUCGCCCGCGGGGUUCAGCCGGCAUUCGUGCCGGUGUACUUCCCCGUGGGCGGGCCAGCGUCGGUUUGGGCGGCCGGUCAAAGGCCCUCGGAAUGUAUCACCUCUCGGGGUGUCUUAUAGCCGAGGGUGCAAUGCGGCCUGCCUGGACCGAGGAACGCGCUUCGGCUCGGACGCUGGCGUAAUGGUCGUAAAUGACCCGUCUUGAAACACGGACCAAGGAGUCUAACAUCUACGCGAGUGUUCGGGUGUCAAACCCGUACGCGCAGUGAAAGCGAACGGAGGUGGGAGCCCCCUCGCGGGGCGCACCAUCGACCGAUCCUGAUGUCUUCGGAUGGAUUUGAGUACGAGCGUAGCUGUGGGGACCCGAAAGAUGGUGAACUAUGCCUGAAUAGGGCGAAGCCAGAGGAAACUCUGGUGGAGGCUCGCAGCGGUUCUGACGUGCAAAUCGAUCGUCAAAUUUGGGUAUAGGGGGCGAAAGACUAAUCGA